rnacentral:misc_RNA from 1 species
UCUGUCAACAAUCGAACCUACCGAGAGCAAGAAGACGCAGCUGAGAAAACUAACGCGAAAAUGGCGGUGGAAGAGGAACGAAAAUCGUCGACGCCAACUACAGAAGAAACACCGAAUCCAAACUCUAAACCUAGGGCAAGACGAUGUUAACGAUGAUGCGCUGGAAGAAGGAGAGAUUGUCGGAGAUGAGGAAUCAUCGGCCAAGAAACCAAGCGCUGUAAGUUAACAGCCGCACCUUCUCGAGUUCCAAUGGACGUUCUGGUUCGAUAACCCUUUAGCUAAGGCCAAGCAAUCACCUGAGGAUAUUCUAUGCGUUCUGUCUAUACUUUUGCUGCUGUCGAGGAGUUUUGGAGGUCUUCUUCUCUUCUUUCAUUGCUCUUCUUUUGGUUUAAUUUUGCUUCUAUUUCUGGAUUCCUUUAUUUUUUGCUUGGUUGAUGAUAAAAUUGAUGGAAGGAAAGGAGAGGGAAUUGAGAUUCCAAGGUUUUGGUUUAUUCAUUGAGGAAAUAGAGGUCUGAUGAACGUACUUUCUCGUAAGGGAAGUUAUGGAACGCCUUUGAGACAAAGAAUGAGCAAUCGUGUUUAUGUGGAAAAUUGUAGUUUCAGUUCAUUGCGAAAUUGCAAAAUUGCGGAAUCAGAAAUGAUUUAGAGGUGUUAGAAAUGCUAUCUUGAUUUUCUUGCGUAAUCAAUGAUAGAUAUUUGCUAUUAGUGCAUUGUGACCUCAUUAAGAAAUAAUUGUCUCCAAAUCUAUAUUUUCUUUGCCAUCUGCUUGUUAUUAAAUCAGAUGCUUCCUUUUGUUUCUAUUGGAUUAUCUGACAACAAUUAGAGAUUCUUUUUCUUUAAGGGGCAAAUUUAGUUAGGUAUUUGUUAAAAUGAAUGAAAAUUUCUCUUGUGAUGUAGUAUUCUUCCAGACUGAUGGGUGUUAAGUGAUGCCUAGAAGUAAACAAUAUUUUAUUGGGAGUUUUUAAUUUUGGAUUUGUGAAAAUGUAGUUCUUGAAUUGCCCAAGCGGCGUGACCAUUAACUUGUACUUUAAAUUGCUGGAUAUUGUUUGUAUCCAAUUUUAAGCAUACGCCUUCAUGUCUGUAUGUUUCAUGGAAUAAUUGGACGUGGAAAUUUAGGCAAUUGGACAGAUUUUUUAAUUAUACAAUCAAAUGUUCAUUGAGGACUAGGAAUCUAAACAUGGAUAAUUCUUUUCAAUUCGGAUCUUUGUUCUUAUCAUGAUCAUUCCCUUUCCCCUUCGGGACGAAGGGUAUAUUAUAUAUAUGUACUCCCUGCAAAGAGCAAUUUUAUAUCUGCAUAAUUGUACUCAUGCAUAUAAAAUUCAAAAAUUUAGAUGAAUUCAUGGGACUAAAAUCUUUUCAUUGUAUUUGGCCUCUCUGUUAUCAUAAAGUUAUGAUUGUUCUUUGAAAACCACUUUAAUAUUUCAUAUGAAGACAGAAAUAUGAAUAUCUUUUAGGCGUUUUUUUUUCUUAAGUAAUUUACCUUAUUGUGACAUACAUGCAACUGAACUGGAAUCUAAUAAACUGCCGAGGAGUUUUUGUUCAUCCUAGGAAUGAUAUGCCAUUUAGGUAAUAGAAUGAGUUUCUAGCAACUCCAUUCUUAGCAAGUAGGACACUUGCUGGAAUUUGUAUUUUGCAUUCGAGUUGUGCAAUGUUCACAGAAACAGUGAAGUAUUCUAAGGUCUUUGCAAUCUACUUUGUGUCUCUUGCUCAUUACAUCUAUGAUCCUCGUCCACAGAGUGAAAAAAGUAACUAUCAUUCUGGACUAAUGAACCCUUUAUAGGCAUGUUUACUCAGGAAAAAAAGUUCACAUUUUAACCAUUAACUUCCUCAUUUACCUGUCCUGAUAUAGAAAUCACUCUGACAGUGAAAUUAUGCUGUAUCCAUCGUAUUCAUCCUAGCAAGCUGGCUUUGGGGGCUGACUUUCAUUUUUUCAAGAAUAAAAUUGAGCCAAAGUGAGAGGAUCCUGUUUGUGCCAGUGGAGGGAAGUGGACUGUAACUUUUGGCCAAGGGAAAUCUGAUACCAAUUGGUUAUAUACGGGGUGUUUCUACAUUGUUGUGAGCUAUUAAAUAACACUGACUGCUAUACGAUGGAGCUUCUUAUUCUAUUUACAUUCUUUUAUUAGUUGCUGUCCAUGAUUGGAGAACAGUUUGAUCAUGGAGAUGAAAUCUGUGGAGCAGUUGUCAGUGUCAGAAUUAAGCACGAAAAGAUAGCUCUUUGGACCAAGAAUGCUUCAAAUGAAGCUGCUCUUCUGAGGAGAAAAAGAAUGAAUGCUUAUCAAAUUCAGUUUAGUUAUGUACUUGAAGGUGUUGUAUAUAGUGGAACUUCAUAUAGAACUGUCAAUUAUGUUGUUUGUUGUAAAUGUUAUUUGUAUUAGAAAUACUGGAUGCAUAAGAAUUAGGUUAUUAUAAAUAGGGCUUUUAAUAUCUCUCCUCGGCAGUGAAAAAGCAUGCGGUAGUUUGUGAAUGUAGGCACACUUGCCAAAUUACACAUUCUUUUGUUCAUUUUUCUCGCAAUUUUUCUAAACGGAAACUGUGCCUGACCAGAUUUAGCUCGAUAUUCUUAGUUCCUUGCCUGCAUUAAUUUCCACAAAACAAUUAAAAUCCAUCGGUGAGACUAUGACAAGUGCCAGUACAAUGCUUUCCAUAAUUCUUUUUUUCCUUCCUUUCUUUGCUAACUAAAAGCUAUGAUCAAGUUUAGAAAGUCAACGAUUUAACUAUUUUAUAUUCAUCCUAUAAAUACUGGUGUUAAUUACAAAGUCACCCUCACCCCCCCACCCUUUCCUACAAAAACAUACUCAUUUACAAAUAAUGUUUCUCUUUCCCCUCUCACUGCCAACCUUUUAACAGACAGGAAAAGAAAAAGGAAAAUAGAAGUUCUUAUUAAAGAUUCAAAUAUUCAUGGAAAUAUUUCUCCUUCCUCUUCGUCUCCAUUUACUACCAUCUCAUCCUCAUCCCAAAUAUCAUCCUUUAUGAACAAACCCAAUCGCUCCAGCGGGCUCCCAGUGUAAGCUGCUUCCAUCUCUCCGUUUGUCACCCGUUUACUGCCAAUGCGAAAAUGAUAGGAAAGGGAACCUCCACUAAGCUUCUCGAGUUCUUUCAGAAUCUCCAGGUUCUGCUCAAUAUCAGCAGUUUUUUCCAUCUUCUGCAAUGCAAUUCGAGCAGCUUCUCUUUCUUUCUCCCUUUGUUUUUUCAAUUCAAUUUCUUCCCUCAUUCGUGAGGCAGCUUCAGCGGCUCUGAUUUGAGCUUCAAUCCAAGCCUUCUCUUCACGCUGCCUCCUUUCCAACCUUUCCUUCUCCUGCUGCAUCUUCACAGGAUCAGCCUUAUCACCAUGAUCUAGAAGUGUCUUAUGCUGUGCUUUUAAGAUAGUAUCUGCAAAUCGAUACUUUAGCAUUGCAGCGCGAAGGGCCUUUGUUGGAGACAGUUGUACAUCACAAGUAGGUCUCCAUCCUUCUCGAGAAGUUGCGUCUGUUGCAGGAGUUAUGAGCUGUAAACUAGGGUAUGCAUUUUCAUCAUCCAAAGUACUUACAGCCCCUUUACAUAGAUCCCAACAGCAACCCAAAUGAUCAGGUCACCCAACUCUAAGCAGUGGAAUAUCAGAAAAGAACAAAGCAGAAGAUUCUCUCACCAUCAGAAUCUGGAUCUGACUUGCUCAUCUGUGAAGCUGACAUGCUUUUCCCAUGAUAAUCCAGUUUUGAGGCAUCAGUGCCACAUGCAGUAUCAUCUCUGCUCAAUGACCUCUCAGAAGAUAUAUCAGAGGAAGCAUGGGUUGAGUCACUGGGAAGGCAACAUUGAAAAGCACUUCUAACACUUGUAACACAUUCACUAACAACUGGGUUCGAUGGCUUGACACUGACAGGGCAACAAGCACAUUUGCCACCACUAGUGCCUUUGCAAGAAUUUAGCAGUAAUGCCUUGUGCAUGCAGUUUUCUGCAGGCUUAAAAAGCUUUACUUCUGCAGCUUUUGCAUUUGAAGAACUCCUCAUUGCCUUGUAUUCAGAUGGUUUUGACAUCUUGGGUAAAAGAACAUUGCGCAAACGGGAUGUUUCAGGACAAUUCUGUCUUGUGGCACUAAUUUCCUUUGGCUUCCUGCUCAAAAUUUUUCCACCACCAGACUCUGAUAUUUCAUGAUUCCAUUUUUCCUGUAGUGACUUCCACUUAGUCUCAAAAAUCUUAUUCAGUGACUCUGCCACUUGGUGGACAUAAUUUGUUGGAGGAUUAUAUAGCAUAGCAUUUGAGAAUGUCAGUCUGACAUCAGCAGCAAACUCUUCAGUUCCAGAAUACUGAUUCUUCUCCAGCUUAGAUUUUAUUGUGCCUAAAUCCAUAGGAUUUGAUAUAAUUGAAAAAUAGUCAGGAAUUUUCAGUGCCACUGGAUCCACUGGUUCCCUAAAAAUCCAACCAGAUGGAUUAUUUAUCAGAGAUUUUAGAAUGGAAAAACACUGAUGUGUGACACAGCGGCCCAUCUUCCGCUUCUUCUCUGGUCGGCCCUCUACUUCCCACAAUGGGCCACGCUUAUUAGCCCCAGGCACCACAGGUUUCAGCUUCGUAUUCUGCAUGUCACAUGCCUGAGAAUAAUAGUUCUUGUCCACAUUACGCCCAGACUCACAUUCCCUUAUCCCAGGAACAGCUUCUAUUCUUUUGGUAGAAAACUUUAUUUUCAACUUCUUUCCUACUACAGUUUCAGCAGCAAUCAUUCUGAAGAACUCUCCGAUAUAGAAUAAGAGACCGAAAAAACACUGGAUUGCUCGAUUAUAAUAACGCAAAGAGACGCAGAUAGAGAAAGGCUGAAGAUAGCAAUGCUACAGAGAGAUCAAAACGAGGGGAAAAGAGAGUAAAGUAAAGAAGAGAAAGGGUUUAAAGUAGAGCACAGAGAGUGAGGCCUAGGGUUUUGGACAACCCUAACUCCAGUACUCACACGACUGACUGGUGGUUUAUUACUGUAACAUCAGCAACCUCAAUAUUGCCGCGUUU